rnacentral:ncRNA from 1 species
UAGUAAUUCUAGAGCUAAUACGUGCAACAAACCCCGACUUCUGGAAGGGAUGCAUUUAUUAGAUAAAAGGUCAACGCGGGUUUUGGCCGUUGCUCUGAUGAUUCAUGAUAACUUGAUGGAUCACACGACCUUUGUGCCGGCGACACAUCAUUCAAAUUUCUACCCUAUCAACUUUUGAUGGUAGGAUAGUGGCCUACUAUGGUGGUGACGGGUGACGGAGAAUUAGGGUUCAAUUCCAGAGAGGUAGCUUGAGAAACGGCUACCACAUCCAAGGAAGGCAGCAGGCACGCAAAUUACCCAAUCCUGACACGGGGAGGUAGUGAUAAUAAAUAACAAUACUGGGCUCUAUGAGUCUGGUAAUUGGAAUGAAUACAAUCUAAAUCCCUUAACGAGGAUCCAUAGUAGGGCAAGUCUGGUGCCAGCACCCGCGGUAAUUCCAGCUCCAAUAGCGUAUAGUUAAGUUGUUGCAGUUAAAAAGCUCGUAGUUGGACUUAGGGGUGGGUCGGCCGGUCCGCCUCACGGUGAGCACC